rnacentral:rRNA from 1 species
AACCAGUACCGUGAGGGAAAGGUGAAAAGCACCCCGGAAGGGGAGUGAAAUAGAACCUGAAACCGUGUGCUUACAAGUAGUCAGAGCCCGUUAAUGGGUGAUGGCGUGCCUUUUGUAGAAUGAACCGGCGAGUUACGAUUUGAUGCAAGGUUAAGCAGUAAAUGUGGAGCCGUAGCGAAAGCGAGUCUGAAUAGGGCGUUUAGUAUUUGGUCGUAGACCCGAAACCAGGUGAUCUACCCUUGGUCAGGUUGAAGUUCAGGUAACACUGAAUGGAGGACCGAACCGACUUACGUUGAAAAGUGAGCGGAUGAACUGAGGGUAGCGGAGAAAUUCCAAUCGAACCUGGAGAUAGCUGGUUCUCUCCGAAAUAGCUUUAGGGCUAGCCUCAAGUGAUGAUUAUUGGAGGUAGAGCACUGUUUGGACGAGGGGCCCCUCUCGGGUUACCGAAUUCAGACAAACUCCGAAUGCCAAUUAAUUUAACUUGGGAGUCAGAACAUGGGUGAUAAGGUCCGUGUUCGAAAGGGAAACAGCCCAGACCACCAGCUAAGGUCCCAAAAUAUAUGUUAAGUGGAAAAGGAUGUGGCGUUGCCCAGACAACUAGGAUGUUGGCUUAGAAGCAGCCAUCAUUUAAAGAGUGCGUAAUAGCUCACUAGUCGAGUGACACUGCGCCGAAAAUGUACCGGGGCUAAACAUAUUACCGAAGCUGUGGAUUGUCCUUUGGACAAUGGUAGGAGAGCGUUCUAAGGGCGUUGAAGCAUGAUCGUAAGGACAUGUGGAGCGCUUAGAAGUGAGAAUGCCGGUGUGAGUAGCGAAAGACGGGUGAGAAUCCCGUCCACCGAUUGACUAAGGUUUCCAGAGGAAGGCUCGUCCGCUCUGGGUUAGUCGGGUCCUAAGCUGAGGCCGACAGGCGUAGGCGAUGGAUAACAGGUUGAUAUUCCUGUACCACCUAUAAUCGUUUUAAUCGAUGGGGGGACGCAGUAGGAUAGGCGAAGCGUGCGAUUGGAUUGCACGUCUAAGCAGUAAGGCUGAGUAUUAGGCAAAUCCGGUACUCGUUAAGGCUGAGCUGUGAUGGGGAGAAGACAUUGUGUCUUCGAGUCGUUGAUUUCACACUGCCGAGAAAAGCCUCUAGAUAGAAAAUAGGUGCCCGUACCGCAAACCGACACAGGUAGUCAAGAUGAGAAUUCUAAGGUGAGCGAGCGAACUCUCGUUAAGGAACUCGGCAAAAUGACCCCGUAACUUCGGGAGAAGGGGUGCUCUUUAGGGUUAACGCCCAGAAGAGCCGCAGUGAAUAGGCCCAAGCGACUGUUUAUCAAAAACACAGGUCUCUGCUAAACCGUAAGGUGAUGUAUAGGGGCUGACGCCUGCCCGGUGCUGGAAGGUUAAGAGGAGUGGUUAGCUUCUGCGAAGCUACGAAUCGAAGCCCCAGUAAACGGCGGCCGUAACUAUAACGGUCCUAAGGUAGCGAAAUUCCUUGUCGGGUAAGUUCCGACCCGCACGAAAGGCGUAACGAUUUGGGCACUGUCUCAACGAGAGACUCGGUGAAAUCAUAGUACCUGUGAAGAUGCAGGUUACCCGCGACAGGACGGAAAGACCCCGUGGAGCUUUACUGUAGCCUGAUAUUGAAAUUCGGCACAGCUUGUACAGGAUAGGUAGGAGCCUUUGAAACGUGAGCGCUAGCUUACGUGGAGGCGCUGGUGGGAUACUACCCUAGCUGUGUUGGCUUUCUAACCCGCACCACUUAUCGUGGUGGGAGACAGUGUCAGGCGGGCAGUUUGACUGGGGCGGUCGCCUCCUAAAAGGUAACGGAGGCGCUCAAAGGUUCCCUCAGAAUGGUUGGAAAUCAUUCAUAGAGUGUAAAGGCAUAAGGGAGCUUGACUGCGAGACCUACAAGUCGAGCAGGGUCGAAAGACGGACUUAGUGAUCCGGUGGUUCCGCAUGGAAGGGCCAUCGCUCAACGGAUAAAAGCUACCCCGGGGAUAACAGGCUUAUCUCCCCCAAGAGUUCACAUCGACGGGGAGGUUUGGCACCUCGAUGUCGGCUCAUCGCAUCCUGGGGCUGUAGUCGGUCCCAAGGGUUGGGCUGUUCGCCCAUUAAAGCGGUACGCGAGCUGGGUUCAGAACGUCGUGAGACAGUUCGGUCCCUAUCCGUCGUGGGCGUAGGAAAUUUGAGAGGAGCUGUCCUUAGUACGAGAGGACCGGGAUGGACAUACCUCUGGUGUACCAGUUGUCGUGCCAACGGCAUAGC